CCGGCGUAGACCGGCUGAUCGUCGUGGGUGUAGGCCACGACGAUCCGUUCCAGCCGGGCGCGCAGGUC
rnacentral:tRNA from 1 species